CAAAUUGGUGCUUGCAAUUUUAAGGGACUCCACAACUAAGUUACAGAUGUUUGUAUUUAGGACCUGUGUAUCUGAAAAUGACAACUGUUUUUGUGAAAAGGUAUCUGGAAUGUACACUUGAUAGUUCUGUUGUCAUGGUUUUAUGAUUUUUGUUAUCAGUAUUCUACAUCAUAACAUUAUGGAAAGCACUGGGAUUUAAGGAGUUAAUGUCCCACUUCCACAGAUUGCCUAUUUU
rnacentral:lncRNA from 1 species